rnacentral:lncRNA from 1 species
UUUCACAAAGCCUCACCUAGUCCCAUGGGGCCAAUUUCUCCUCCCCGGCCGGAGCGCAGAGGAAGAAAUAUAGCUCCUAUAAUUAAAGGAGGAAACGGCCAGAGGGGGAAUGCAGCCGGCAGCCAAACAAAAAAGUAAGAGUUUUAUUUAUUUGCUGACUGAAC